rnacentral:lncRNA from 1 species
AUGGGGCCUCUUUGUUCCGCGCGCCCGGGCGGAUACUGCACCGCGCGCUAGUGCUCCGGCCUUUGUCCGCCGCGGGUAAGCGGGCGGCCGACUGCACUACAGCCACACACCGGUCACCCUGAAGACGCUCCCUGUGCUUCGGCCGACGAGAUUCUUCGUUCAGCAUACUUGUACUGAGCUGCUGUGUACACCACCUGUGGCAGUGUCUUGUGGGAGCGGUCUGCCGCGCGUCCCUUCAAGACUGCUUCGGCUCCAGUCGUUUGGUUUGGCUACAGAUGCGGCAGGUCAGGACUGAGGAUGGUACCACAAGAGAUUCGGACGCCGACGGACGUGUGACACCCCGGGCUAAGUACUAGCGCCGUAGGAGUGGGAUUUCGGGCUACUCCUGCAGCCUUGGUGCUUACCCCGGGGGCGUCACGGGCCAGCACUACCGUCGCGACGCCCACCUCCCCAUAGGGAGGGCACAUCGUCGUUUCUCUAAUAAAAUUCAGUAAACAUAUC